AGCUCCACUUUUCACAGCUGGUGGGCGUUGUGAUUAGAGCUGGCGCUCCAUUUUUUAAAACUGUCGUUGUUGCCAGAGACAGGCGACUAGACUCCCUUAGUGAGUCUCCCACACUGCAAGAAGCAGCUCCAUGCUGGACUUGGCGGAAGUCUAGGUAGAGAAAGGCUGAUCUAGCUGUAGUGCCUUUGGGGCCAGUAUAGCCUCGGGUAGGUCAGCAGGUUCGUGGGAGUGGGGAAGCGGUGCCCAGCCUCGGGCGGGUUAUCAGUCUGUAGUUACGGUAUCGCUGUCAAUUAUAGUUUAGAGACAGCAUUAAUUAAAGUAGAUCUCACAUGAUCUCUAAGUCAGUUCAUUUUGUCUGCUCAUCUUGGCCUUUUUUUCUUUUCUAAGAACAGAAAUGCAUUUUUUGUUUUCUCUUUCAGUCCAUACAGAAAGAAUUGACUGGAAGUCUGGAACUGUCAGAAAAUAACUCAAGGCAUAGUUCAGUUGUGAGUUGCAAAAAAUGUUGUCAGAAUCCCUGUCCCCACUCCCUCCUCAGGAAAUCUGACACAAGCUGAACAUGAGCUUUGAUGGCUGUCACCAUGGGAAAAGUCAGGAUGUCAUGUGUGGGAGAACCUGGAAGUAUUGAAUGGUAAAAUGGAUACAGUUGUACAAGUGAUUGAACCAGUUAGCUUCAGCCUACAAGUUUUAAAAUCACUUUCUAGACAACAGACAAGACAACUGGGUGUGCACCAGCCUUGAACCUGCAAGCAGAUACUCCCUUUCCC
rnacentral:lncRNA from 1 species